GUCAGUCGGUCAGUGGGUCAGUCCAUCGAGCCAUCAUUCGGUCCUUCAGGCAGGCAGUCCAUCAGUGGGUCUGUCCAUCAGUCCAUCCGUUAGCCAGUCAGACCGUUAGGCAGACAGCCGGUCCGUCAGUCGGUCAGCCCAUCGGUCCAUCGGUCCAUCAGUCAGUCCGUCCAUCAGCCAGUCAGACCGUCAGUCGGGCAGGCGGUCUGUCAGUCAGUUGGUCGGCCCAUCGGUCCAUCAGUCCAACGGGCAGCCCGUCAGCCAGUCCGCCCAUCGGUCGGUCAGACCUUCCAUCAGCCAGACAGACCAUUAGUCGGGGGGCAGCCAAGUCUCAGUCGGACACGAGCAGGCAGUGUCCACGUGGACAGGCAGCAGCGUCACGGCCCCACCGGCAGAGAACAGGAGUCCAUCGCUCUCUGCCCCGGAGUUGCAGCGAGGUUCCUGGGUACAGGUGGAUCCUGCCCUUCCCGGCGGCGGGUCCGGCUGACCUAAGAUGCAGGAAUGCCCUCUCUGGACAGAAUGGGGUGAAGAUUCCCCUGUUCGAAUGACUCAGAGCGGGCGUCUGAGCGGCGUUCACCUGGACUUGCUGAGUCCCAGAGACCCCGCAGUCCUACCGGCUCCCAAGAUUUUUACUUCCGGUGCCUAUUUCCUACUGCCUCGUGCUUCACCACCAUUCCCCAGCCCGUCCUACAUAAAGAACCACAUCAUCCAGCCAUGGAACACCAAAAAAGCAGCUAAGUCAAGCGAUGCACUUCCAAGCCCAAUGUGAGAGAUGCAACUGCAAUGGAAAAGGCCCAGCCAGUGACUCCGUCCAGGUAUCUUAGACCCAACACACUCUCGCCAUGGGGUCUGUUACAUCUGUAAGAUUAAAUAUUGCUGUGAACAA